rnacentral:rRNA from 1 species
GACGAACGCUGGCGGCGUGCUUAACACAUGCAAGUCGAGCGGUAAGGCCCUUUCGGGGGUACACGAGCGGCGAACGGGUGAGUAACACGUGAGCAACCUGCCCUUCUCUUUGGAAUAAGCGUGGGAAACGACGUCUAAUGCCGAAUAUGACCUCUCACUGCAUGGUGGGGGGUGGAAAGCUCUGGCGGAGAAGGAUGGGCUCGCGGCCUAUCAGCUUGUUGGUGGGGGUAAUGGCCCACCAAGGCGACGACGGGUAGCCGGCCUGAGAGGGUGACCGGCCACACUGGGACUGAGACACGGCCCAGACUCCUACGGGAGGCAGCAGUGGGGAAUAUUGGACAAUGGGCGAAAGCCUGAUCCAGCAACGCCGCGUGAGGGAUGACGGCCUUCGGGUUGUAAACCUCUUUCAGCAGGGACGAAGCGAGAGUGACGGUACCUGCAGAAGAAGGACCGGCCAACUACGUGCCAGCCGCCGCGGUAACAC